rnacentral:lncRNA from 1 species
CCGACCAGCUCUUUGACGACCUGAAAGUACCAUGUUGCUGUUAUGUUUCCUGGAAUGGGAUCAAAGUGUUGUGCUCCUUGGCUUGGGAGACAGAAUGACCACAGGUGCUGCAAGACAGCAGGAAAUCACCUCUGUGAAGCUGUCCAGGAAGCCUCGAAUUCAGCCUCAACUAGAGAUUGGAGAAGUGUUUUGUCUGAGAAUCCUAGAUGCUCUACACUUGAUGCAUUGUCUUCCUGCAGACAGGGCAAACUCUGCUCCU